AUUUGUAGUAGUAUGUUCUUCUGUUUUUUUAGUAGAUUUUGCUCUCAGUCUACAGUCAUCUGCUUUAUGCCAUCUAGAAUAUCCUCACUCUCUUAGUUUGCUGGUGAUUAUUGUGUAUUUCUCAUGCCUUUGAAUUGAAAAUAUAUUUAUUGUGUAAUUUCCUAUGGAUUUAAGGAGGGGAAUAUAUUUUUCUGGAAUUCUCUUUCUUUCUGAUAUGCUUUCUCCCUUUUUCUUUAUCAUCAAUGACUUACUCUACCUGCCAUUUAUCUUCACCUAUGAUUUAGAAGAUGGAGUCUUGCUAUGUCACACUCAGGCUGGAGUCCAGUGGCAUAGUGGCACAAUCUUGGCUCAUUGAAACCUUCAUCUCCUGGAUUCAAAUAAUUCUCUUGCAUCAGCCUCCUGAGUAGCUGGAACUACAGGCAUGUGUCAUGAUGCCCAGCUAAUUUUUGUAGUUUUAGUAGAAAUGGGUUUUCACCAUGUUGGCCAGGCUGGUCUUGAACUCCCAACCUCAAGUGAUCCACCUUUGGUCUCUCUAAAUGCUGGAAUUAGAUGCAUGAGCCACCAUGCCCAGCCCCAAUAGUAAUUUUCUAAUUGCAAAUGUUACAACUUCCAUCUAAAGCGCCUUCAGCCAAAAAAAUUAUUGAGCUUACUUCCCAGAUAUGGCUUAGUCUACCUUUCACGACUGUUACCUCUCACUUGAUUAGUCUGUCAUGGAUCAGGCAAUCAGAGGUGGAAUGUUAAGCUUGGCAUACAUGAGCCCACAAGACUGACCUGGGAUCUUGUAAUGGAGUGAGCUUCAGUGAAGGAUAUUGCCUGAAAAUUGAAGAUGCAACAUCUGGAUAUUAUUUCUCCCAAAAGAGAAGGUGAUGUGUGAAAGGCUGGGAGAGAAAAAAAAAAUCAAAAAUCUACUAUGGAUAGCUGACCUGCAUAAGAUGUGU
rnacentral:lncRNA from 13 species